CUCCCGCCCCGGAACUCUGACCCGCCCCACCACGCCUCACUACGCGUCGUCGGUCACCCACCCUCCCACAGGCGCCGACUCGACGACCCACGCGCCCCCGAGACCCGGCGCCCCCAUCCAUCUACCUCACCGCGUCGCGCCGCCGCUCCACAAAACUCCCACCGAACCACACCUCCUAUCCCCUGGCUACCCCUCCCACCUCCAGAGCUCUCGCCACGAGCUGUAUCCGGUGGCCGCCACCCCUCAUCGCCCUUGGCUAGGCUUCCCUCAAUCUCCCACGGUCCCACCGCCCCCAGCGCUCCUCCCGGCGGCGGAUCCGGGCCGGCAACUAAUCCCUCCUCCCCUGCGACUGAUUGCCUCCAGUACCCUCCCCUAUUUUCUUUGUAUCGCCGACCAUGGCGCCCAUGGCGACCAAGAGGCUGGAAGGGGUCUCGUGGACCUGAGAGUGCGAGAGGAGCAGCAGCGCCGGCGGUGACGCCCCAGGUACCCUGGAAUAUAUGGAAGCGCGGAAACUCCAAGCUCUUCCGGGAUGUUUUUGAGGAAUUGCACAUUACUACUAGCAAGAUUGAUGAUGAUCUUACGUUGUAGUCCAACAGGUAUUCAAAUGAAAUUAAGAAAGACAUCCUUAGAGGCUGGAGCACUUCAUUUGUGUGUAUAAAGUGUUUCAGGCCAGUGUAAGCCUGUUGUAGUCCCUGUAAUACAAAGGUAGUAAGUGACGCAUCGCCCUCUCUGAACUGAAUAACUAUGGCAUCAAUGAGAUGCUUCGACCCAUGCUGGCCGUCGUUCCCCACCACUGAGAUGAAGAAGGAACAGCUGGCUUACCAUUCACUUAAGCAUCCAGAGCCUCGGCGCCCAACUAUUGAAGAAGGCUCAUACUGAUGGAGUUGUCCCAAACUAGGCACAUACCUAGCCCCUUUCCGCUCCUGGAGUCCUUGCAUGCCUUUAAAGCAUGUAAUCUUAGUCAUUGGACAUUUUAUAUGGUUGAUUCUAAAUUCGUGUGGUGGUUGCAGAAUGUCAUAGCGCAUGUGUUGCCGUUGUCUCUCUCAAUAAGUCCCUCGCUGGUGGUUACACACACGCGCCAACGAACUGCUCGGCCAGGGGAGAAAACAGAGCAGUGGUGUUCGGUUAGAAUAGAGGAGGACACACGGUUAGGUUUCAGGAACCAAUGCCUUCGUAUUUUUUUCUCUUUCAACUGAGUGCUGGCUAAGUAAGCACAACCCUCUUAUUACAAGGUUAGAUCAACUCAACACAAGCAAUAACAACUUGAAAUGAGCUAGGUUGGCCAAGUCUAGACAUUAUGGAUUUGGUAAUGUAUAUAUAUUGGAAAAUGAUAGCAUGGUCUUUAUAUGGUUGUUUUUUGUUA